UCCAAACCAGCCUGAAAAGGGCCAGACAGCUUCUUUCUCCCCCAGAGUAACCUCUUUUAUCAAAAUAAGUAAUUUUGGAUGAGUAAGGGCUGCCGGUGCAAGGCCUCCCCAGGCUGCCUAGCCAGUUGCCACCACCGUGGUGCAGUGCGUGGAGGGGAGCUUGGGGGAUGCCGUUCAGUGGGAAACAUUUCCACGCCCUUUGCACGUCAGGCUGCGGAGCCAAAAGGUGCGAUCCGUGCUCUGGGAAAGGAGCUGCCGGGGCGGCAGCUGGGAAAGCGCAUCUCAGCGCGGCCAGCGCUGCCGGCAGCCUCCCCACAUCAGCAUGCACAGAGCUUCCCGCCGCCGUGAUUCGCGAGCCGGGAUGGAAGCGGCUCUGAAAUCACUGGACAGAAAAUUAAAAACUCCUGGGAGAAUUUGCCCCAAUCUUUCACCGCGCGUUCAGGAAAAACAGCUGCUUCUUGUACUCGGGAGACCCAGCUCCACUCUCUAGAAUAAAUUCAGCGUUGCCCUUUUCCACUCCGCACUUAAACUAGUCUUUUUUUUUCCCCUUUCAGUUUCCCUGGCCUGUCCAAAGCAAGUGAUACAGAGGCCACGAGUGGCUCUUUCGACCCGUGCGGGGCAGCUGGGUGCUCACGCCGGGGCACGUGCUGCGGGGCUCUGACUUACCCACAGCCGGGGCAGGCGACGCGCUGCUGCCUCGCAAGAUCCCACCGGUUCCCCGCGGCUCCGCGGUUUGUGGCCUCUGGCAGCAGAGUGCCAGCGUGGAAGGGAGAUGCCAGGAGCACGGGCUUACGCUCCGGCUCUGGCACAGCUCGUGCCCAGUGGUUCGCUCCCGGGAAGCGCAGGCAUCCUCACCCAGCGCGCCUUCCCGGGGCUCCCGUGCUGGCAGAGCCGCAGCGCUAAUUGGCUUCGUUACGGCACAGAAUUACUGCGGUUCGUAGCGGACACACCAGGAGGGAUGCGGGUGUCAUUUCGAAUAAUCACGGUCUUGUGGCAAAGGGACCGCACGCUCCGGCAACGGGAUCGCUGCAUCGAAGGGCCGUGAUUCACCCGCAGCCCAAAACCCACGCUGGCAAACCCACGAGGCACCGCAAACGGGAACGCAGCCGCGCUCCUGGCCCGUGGGUCUGUAAUCGCCGUCACGCACGACAGCGAAGGCCUCUGGCCACGCAGAGAGGGAAACCGAGAGCGCGGCACCGGGUCGGACCACGCCGCAUCCCUGCGGAGCGGAGCUGCAGGCGCUCGGCGUCGCGGUCCUCGCCGGCCCCGUGCCGCCCCGCACCAGCAGUGCGCUAACCGGCCUCCCCUUUGCCAGCCAGCGCUUCAAACCUCGCUGCAUCCUACUUGGGACUCAGAAAGCGCUGCGGCCAAACCCUGAAAUCGUCUUUAUCGCUGCCGUGGAUCCCCCGAGCUGUCCGAGAGGGAAAGUACCUGCAGGUCAUUAACAAGGGACUAACGGCCUCUUGCUUUUCCCACCCUUUCCCCUUUCAUCACAGACGUGGUCCGGCUUUUCAGCAGCCUACGUACUUCUAAGGAAAACACCAAAUUAAAGUCUCGAGAGCUCGCCCCGAUGGGGAAUUGCUGCCGUUUUCACCAGAGAAAAUGGCUCGGUAUUUCCCCGGGGCGGUUUCCUCUUCUGCAAUGCUCCGUUGCCUGGAAUAUCUUAAACUGUGGUAUUAAAAAACCAUGGAUAAUGAUUACUGUUCACCAGCAUAAUAGUCUCAAGAAUCAGCAUCCCUACUUUUUGCAGGAAACAUAUCCCCAGGCAGUUUCCUUUGCAUAUAAGCGUACAAAAAAAGUUCAAGUGAGAAAAAAAUCGUAUCAGCAAAGCACAUUUGUAUAGAUGAAUUAUUUUGAAAAUUUCCGAGCAUCCAAACUAACUGCAGCAGAUUUGAAUUAUAGAAUUAUAAGCAACACGUUCAUUCUGAUCCUCUGGGCUAAAAAGUUAUAAUUAGCACAUGCACCAUAAAACUGGCUUUUAAUUAAAUAAGCCUUGGAACGGAGGAAGUUUUGCGAGGUCCCUCCCUCGCUUACGUAAGGCAGGCGGCCCAAACGGGCACCGCCGGGGAUGCUGCGACGGCUCCCGAGCCCGGGGAGCGUUAAGCAGAAUUUUAAAGAAAGGAAAGAGAGAAAUGGGAAAUCAGGCAAGCGGGGAGCCCGCAGCCAGCAGCUGGAUCUCGUACGUUAGUGACCCGAAGAGCCAUCACAGCCAAAUGAGCUGCAACGAUGGUUUGUACUGGGGCGACAAACGGCACGAGCAAAACCAUCGCGGGAACGCGAAGACCCGACUCAUCACGCCCCAGACCCGGAGAUGGAAAGCUGGAAAAGCUCCGGCUACAGGGAAGGCACGAAGCACCACGGAUCACAGGAAUGCAUUUGUCUCCGCGAAAGCGCCCCGGGAGGUGAUGGUCACCCCGCAACCACCGCUUUAUUCAAAGGAAGAAGAGCUUUCCGUCCUGACAAAAACACCGAGGCUGGUGGUGCAGUGGGGGUCCAUCAGUGCUGGAGCCAAGCCCGGGAGUCACCCGCAGCGGUGAGACCGGCGUGGGGUGGGAAGCAUCGCCUCUGGAGCAAACCGACCGCUGUCUCCCGAAACGGCCCGAGGGUCCAAGAGGAAGGGCCGAAGCGGGGGGGGAAGGGAACGGUGGUGGUCCGCCAAAGCCCCCGCACGAGCUGGGCUCUGCCGGCCGGGUCUGGGCUUUUCCCGGCUGGGCUCCAAGGGGGAAGAUGGGAGCGGGGCUCUGGACCUGCCCCUGCGGAUGCAAAGCCCACGCAGGGGGAGAGCGGGUGGUACCCGUGGGGGCUGUUCAAAUUGUGACUGUGGGCAAGCCAAUUCAAAACAAAUAAAUCACGCUAACCUAUUUCCAUGCCAUUGUCCCUUCUCCGUGGGGAACAAUCACUGCUGAGGAUCUUUGCAAAAAUUAGUUCCUGUAAGAUCUGAGGAAUCUUUCUGCUUCUGCACUGAGCACUGGGAGGGAGCCUAUAAAUCCACUUAGUCACACUCGCUGGAUUACAUUGGACCUUGUACUUCUGCUUUUAUUAACAAGAUUGUUUACUAUAUAAGAAGCUUUAUAUAACUGUGAAUCACGGGUGAUUUGUAGGACUGCACAGAUGGGAGUUGCCAACCAUCCGUUUUCUCUGUGCUCGCGUGAACCUCCCGCUCCCAGCCCAUACCUAAAAAAUAAAUGAAACCCUUGCUGUGGUAAUUAAA